rnacentral:lncRNA from 1 species
GCUCCAUUUUGAAGUAGCUGAUCCGGAUCAGCUUAGAUUGUGCCAAGUUUCAAGAAAAAGAUGAAAUAUGAGUUGCAUUUUGACAAAUGAAGAGGAUGUGAAGGGCAGAAGGAGCAGAAACUACCAGCAGAGAUGCUAAGAUGAAAGGCACAGAGUGCAAGUUGGAUUGAAAAAACAAGACCUAUCCGAGUGCUGACUUCAAAAGACUCAUCUCAUACAUAAUGACACCCAUAGGCUCAAAGUAAAGGAUUGGAUAAAUAUUUAUUAUGCAAAUGGAAAACAAAACAAAAAAAAGAGCCAGAGUCACUAUUCUUAUAUCAGAUAAAAUAGACUUUAAACCAACAAAAGUAGAAAAGGACAAAGAAGGGCAUUAAAUAAUGAUAAAGAUUUCAGUUAAACAAGAAGACUUAACUAUCCUAAAUAUAUAUGCACCCAACAUUGGAGCACCCAGAUUCAUAAAACAAGUACUUCUAGACCUAUGAAAAGACCUAGACAGCCAUAAAAUAGUAGCGGAGGUUUUCGACACCCCAUUAGAAAGGUCAUUGAGGCAGAAAACUAACAAAGAAAUUCUGGACUUAAAUUGGACACAACCAGCUGGACCUAAUUGACACCUACAGAACACUCCACUGAUCAACCACUCUUCUCAUCUGCACACAGAACAUACAUCAAGAUUGAUCACUAGCUUAGCCAUAAAGCAAGUCUCAAUAAAUUCAAAAAAUCAAGAUCAUACCAACCACAAUCUUGGGCCACGGUGGAAUAAAAUAGAAAUCAAUACCAAGAAGAUCUCUGAAAACCACACAAUUACAUGGAAAUUAAAAAACUUACUCCUGAAUGACUUUUGAGCAAACAAUAAAGUUAAGGCAGAAAUUAAAAAAUUAUUUUAAAUAAAUGAAAACAAAGAUACAACAUACCAAAAUCUCUGGGAUGCAGCAAAAGCAGUGUUAAGAGGAAAGUUUAUAGCACUUAACGCCUACCUCAAAAAGUUAGAAAGAUCUCAAAUUAACCAUCUAAUAUAAUUCCUAGAAGAACUAGAAAAACAACAACAAACUAAACCUAAAACUAACAGAAUAAAAUAAGUAACUAAAAUCAGAGCAGAACUAAACCAAAUUGAGAUGCAAAAAUCCAUACACAGAAUCAACAAAACCAAUAACUGGUUAUUUGAAAAGAUAAACAAGACUGGCAGACCACUAGCUAGAGUAACAAAGAAAACGAGAGAGACAAAAGAUCCAAAUAAGCACAAUGAGAAAUGACAAAGGCAAUAUUGCAACCAAUACCACAGAAAUACAAAAGGUCCUCAGAGACUAUUAUCAACACCUCUAUGUGCACAAACUAGAAAAUCUAGAGGAAAUGGAUACAUUUCUGGAAGCACACAACCUCCCAAGAUUGAAUCAGGAAGAAAUUGAAACCCUGAACAGAACAAUAUCAAGUUCCAAACUUGAAUCAGUAAUAAAAAACCUACCAAACAAAAAAAGCCCUGGUCCAGAUGGAUGCACAGCUGAAUUCUACCAGAUGUUCAAAGAAGAGCUAGUACCAAUCCUAGCUCUUCGAUUGAUUCUUGGAAUCAUUUUUGGAAAUGAUUCCAAAAAAUCAAGCAGGAGAAACUCCUCCCUAAUUCAUCCUACAAAGCCAGAAUCACCCUAAUACCAAAACCUGGCAAAGACACAACAAAAAAAGAGAAAAUCACAGGCUAAUAUCCCUGAUGAACACAGACAGAAAAAUCCUCAACAAAAUACUAGCAAACCAAAUCCAGCAGCAACAUACACAAAUCAACAAAUGUAAUGCAUCACAUAAACAGAACUAAAGACAAAAACCAUAUGAUCAUCUCAAUAGACAUGGGAAAAGCUUUCAGUAAAAUCCAACAUCCUUUCAUGAUAAAAGCCCUCAGCAAACUAGGCCUCAAAGGAACAUAUUUCAAAAUAAUAAGAGCCAUCUAUGACAAACUGAUAGCCAACAUACCAAAUGGGGAAAAGCCAGAAGCAUUCCGCCUGAGAACCAGAACAAGACAAAGAUGCCCACUGUCACCUCUCCUAUUUAACGUAGUCUUGGAAGGGCUAGCCAGAGCAAUCAGUCAAGAGAAAUAAAAGGCAUCAAAACAGGAAAAGAAGAAAUCAAACUAUCUCUCUUCACUGAUAAUAUGAUUCUAUACCUAGAGAACCAUAAAGACUCUAUCAAAAGGCUCCUGGAAUGAUAAAUGACUUCAGUGAAGUUUCAGGAUACAAAAUCAAGACACAAAAAUUAGUAGCAUUUCUAUCUACCAAUAAUGUACAAACUGAGAGCCAAAUCAAGAAUGCAAUUCCAGGGCCAGGUGUGGUGGCUCACACCUGUAAUCUCAGCACUUUGGGAGGCUGAGGUGGCCAGAUCACUUGAGGUGAGGAGUUCGAGACCAGCCUGGCCAACAUGACGAAAAUCUGUCUCUGCUAAAAAUACAUUAGCCUGGUGUAGUGCCGGGCACCUGUAAUCCCAGCUACUCAGGAGGUUGAGGUGAGAGGAUGGCUUGAGUCCAGGAGGUGGAGGCUGCAGUGAGCUGAGAUGGUGCAACUGCACUCAAGCCUGGGCAACAGAGUAAGACUCUGUCUCAAAAAAAUAAAAAAAAAUAAGCCAGUCGCAGUGGCUCACACCUGUAAUCCCAGCCCUUUGGGAGGCCGAGGCGGGCGGAUCACCUGAGGUCAGGAGUUCGAGACUGGCCUGGUCAACAUGGUGAAACCCCAUCUCUACUAAAAAGUACAAAAAUUAGCCAGGCAUCGUGGUGGGCGCCUGUAAUCCCAGCUACUCAGGAGGCUGAGGCAGGAUAAUUGCUUGAACUUGGGAGGCAGAGGUUGCAGUGAGCCAAGAUCGCACCACUGCACUCCAGCCUGGGCAACAAGAACAUGACUCCAUCUCAAAAAAAAAAAAAAAAAAAAAGCAAUUCCAUUUAUGAUGGCCACAAAAACAAUAAAAUAUCCAGGAAUACAUCUAACCAAGGAGGUGAAAGAUCUCUACAGGGCAAACUGUAAAACUCUGCUGAAAGAAAUCAUAGAUGAGACUGGGCGUGAUGGCUCAUUCCUGUAAUCCCAGCACUUUGGGAGGCCAAGAUGGGCAGAUCACGAGGUCAAGAGAUCGAUACCAUCCUGGCCAACAUGGUGAAAUCCUGACUCUACUAAAAAUGCAAAAAUUAGCUGGGCAUGGUGGUGCACACAUGUAGUCCCAGCUAUUCAGAAGGCUAAUGCAGGAGAAUCGCUUGAACCUGGGAGGCAGAGGUUGCAGUGAGCUGAGAUUGCACCACUGCACUCCAGCCUGGUGACAGAGCGAGACUCCAUCUCAAAAAAAAAAAAAAAAAAGGAAUCAUAGAUGACACAAAGAGUAAAGCAUUUGAUGCUCAUGGAUUGGAAGAAUCAAUAUUGUUAAAAUGGUCAUACUGCCCAAAGUAAUCUAUAGACUUAAUGCUAUUCUUAUCAAACUGCCAACAUCAUUUUUUCACAGAAUUAGAAAAAAACUAUCCUAAAAUUCAUAUGGAACCUAAAGGAGCCUGAGUAGCUAAAGCAAUCCUAAGCAAAAAGAACAAAGCUAGAUAUAUCAUACUAUCCAACUUCAAACAAUACUAUAAGUCUACAGUAGGCUGGGCUCGGUGGCUCAUGCCUGUAAUCCCAGCACUUUGGGAGGCUGACUUGGGCGGAUCACGAGGUCAAGAGAUCUAGACCAUCUGGCCAACAUGGUGAAACUCCGUCUCUACCAAAAAUAUAAAAAAUCAGCCAGGUGUGGUGGCACGCACCUGUAGUCCCAGUUACUCAGGAGGCUGAGGCAGGAGAAUCCUCAGCUUCAGGAGGCUGAGGCAGGAGGCGGAGGUUGCAGUGAACCAAGAUUGCACCACUGCACUCCAGCCUGGGCCACAGAGUAAGAUUUCAUCUCAAAAGAAAAAAAAAAGACUACAGUAAACAAAACAGCAUGGUACUGGUACAAAAAUAGACACACAGACCAAUGGAACAGAGUAGAGAACCCAGAAAUGAAGCAGCAUACCACAUACUUACAGUCAUCUGAUCUUCCACAAAGUUGACAAAAAUAAGCAAUAGGAAAAGGACUCCCUAUUCGAAAAAUAGUGCUGGGAUAGCUGGCUAACCAUAUGCAGAAGAAUGAAACUAGACUCCUAUCUUUCACCAAAAGUUAACUCAAGAUGGUUUAAGGAUUUAAAAGACCUCAUACUAUAAGAAUCCUGGAAGAAAACCCAGGACUCACCAUUCUGGACAAUGACCUUUGGAAAGAAUUUAUGACCAAGUCCUCAAAAGCAAUUGCAGCAAAAAUGAAAGUUGAUAAGUGAGAUCUAAUUAAACUAAAGAGCUUCUGCACAGCAAAAGAAACUAUCAACAGAGUGAACAAUCUACAGAAUGGGAGAAAAUAUUUGCAAACUCUGCCUCUGGCAAAGGUCUAAUAUCCAGGAUCUACCAUAAAAUUAAAUAAUUUAACAAACAAAAACCAAAUAAUCUCAUUAAAAAGUGGGCAAAAGACAUGAAUAGACACUUCUCAAAAGAAGAGAUACAAACAGCCAACAAACAUAUGAAAAAAUGCUCAAUAUCAGUGAUUGUUAGGGAAAUGCAAAUCAAAACCAGAACACCAACCAGAAUGGCUAUUAUUAAAAAGUCAAAAACCCCAGCUAUGGCAACAUGGUGAGGCCUUCAUCUCUAUACAAAAAAACUUUUGUUUUUUUUUGAGAUGGAGUUUCGCUCUUGUUGCCCAGGCUGGAGUGCAGUGGCAUGAUCUAGGCUCACCACAACCUCCGCCUCCCGGGUUCAAGCGAUUCUCCUGAAUCAGCCUCCCAAGUAGCUGGGAUUACAGGCACACACCACCAUGCCCAGCUAAUUUUGUAUUUUUAGUAGAGAUGGGCUUUCUCCAGGUUGGUCAGGCUGGUCUCGAACUCCCAAACUCAGGUGAUCUGCCCGCCUCGGCCUCCCAAAGUGCUGGGAUUACAGGCAUGAGCCACCUCGCCCAGCCUACAAAAAAUUUUAAAAAAUUAGCCAGGCGCUGUGGUGUGUACCUGUGGUUCCAGCUACUCGGGAGGCCGAGGUAGGAUAAUUACUUGAGUACAGGAGGUCAAGGCUACAGUGAGCAAUGUUCACGACAUUACACUGCAGCCUGGGUGACAAAGUGAGACCCUGUUUAAAAAAAAAAAAACAACUCAAAAAACAACAGAUGUUGGCAAGGCUGUGGAGAAAAAGGAACAUUUCUACACUGUUGGUGGGAAUGUAAAUUAGUUCAGCUACCGUGGAAAGCAGUUUGGAGACUUCUCAAUGAAUUUUAAAAAGAACUACCAUGGUCAGGCGCGGUGACUCACGCCUGUAAUCCCAGCACUUUGGGAGGCUGAGGCGGGUGGAUCACCUGAGGUCAGCAGUUCGAGACCAGCCUGACCAACAUGGUGAAACCCCAUCUCUACUAAAAAAUACAAAAAUUAGCCGGGCAUGGUGGCGGGUGCCUGUAAUCCCAGCUACUCGGGAGGCUGAGGCAUGAGAAUCGCUUCAACCUGGGAGGCGGAGGUUGCAGUGAGCCGAGAUCAUGCCGUUGCACUCCAGACUGGGCGACAGAGCAAGACUUCAUCUCAAAACAAACAAACAACAAAAAAAACUACCAUUUCACCCAGGAAAAAUCCCAUUACUGGCCAUCUAUCCAAAAGAAAACAAAUCAUUCUACCAAAAAGACACAUGUACUCUCACGUUCAUCACAGCGCUAUUCACAAUAGCAAAGACAUGGAAUCAACUUAGGUGCCCAUCCAUGGUAGGCUGGACAAAGAAAGUGUGGUAUGUAUAUACCAUAGAAUACUACACAGCCAUAAUGAAAGAAUGAAAUCAUGUCCUUUGCAGCAACACGGAUGCAGCUGGAUUAUUCUAAGCAAAUUAAUGCAAGAACAGAAAACCAAAUACCAUACCACAUGUUCUCACUUAAAAGUGGGAGCUAGGCUGGGCACGGUGGCUCACGCCUGUAAUCCCAGCACUUUGGGAGGCCAAGGCAGGUGGAUCACUUGAGGUCAGGAGUUUGAGACCAGCCUGACCAAUAUGGUGAAACCCCAUCUCUACUAAAAAUACAAAAAUUAGCUAGGCAGCCGGGCAUGGUAUUUCACACCUGUAAUCCCAGCACUUUGGGAGGCCGAGGCGGGAGGAUCACGAAGUCAGGAGAUCGAGGCCAUCCUGGCUAACACGGUGAAACCCUGUCUCUACUAAAAAUACAAAAAAUUAGCUGGGCAUGGUGGCAGGUGCCUGUAGUCCCAGCUACUCGGGAGGCUGAGGCAGGAGAAUGGCGUGAACCCGGGAGGCGGAGCUUGCAGUGAGCCGAGAUCGCACCACUGCACUCCAGCCUGGGCAACAGAACGAGACUCCGUCUCAAAAAAAAAAAAAAAAAAAAAAAUUAGCUAGGCAUGGUGGCCCUCGCCUGUAAUCUCAGUUUACUCAGGAGGAUAUGACAGGAGAAUUGUUUGAAUCCAGGAGGCGGAGGUUGCAGUGAGCGGAGAUCAGGCCACUGUACUCCAGCCUGGGCGACAGAGCAAGACUCCAAUGUCAAAAAAUAAACAAAUAAGUAAGUGGGAGCUAAACCCUGGUUACCCAUGGAUGACAAGAUGGCAACAGUAGACAGUGGGGACUAUUACAGAAGGGAGGUAGGGAGCAGAGCAAGAGUUGAAAAACUAACUAUACGAUACUAGGCUCACUACCCAGGUGACAGGAUGAACAUACCCCCAAUCUCAGCAUCACGCAGUAUACCCGUGUAACCAACCUGCACAUGUACCCCCACAUUUAAAAUAAAAGUUGAAAUUAUUUUUUUAAAAAAUACUUAUUAAAUAUCUAUUAAAUUGUUGUUGUUGUUGUUUUGAGAGGGAGUCCAGGCUGGAGUGCAAUGGCGCCAUCUCGGCUCACUGCAACCUCCGCCUCCUGGGUUUAAGCGAUUCUCCUGCCUCAGCCUCCCAAGUAGGUGGGAUUACAGGCACCUGGCACCACGCCUGGCUAAUUUUUUUUUUUAUUUUUAGUAGAGACUGGGUUUAACCAUGUUGGUAGGGCUGGUCUUGACCUCCUGACCUCAGGUGAUCAGCCUGCCUCAGCCUCCCAAAGUGCUGGGAUUACAGGUGUGAGCCACCGAGCCCAGCCAAAAUUAACUGUUAAUGUAAUAUUAAACUAUUAUUUGUAAUGCAGAAGGGCUUAUCUAAAGUAAAGCAGCUCAGUUAUGUAGUAAAAUCUCAGAAGUCUAAAAUGCCUUGCUUAUCUUUUUAAGAUAAAUAAUUGUAAGACAGCUCAAGUAAGCAGCCUAAUAUCCACGUGUAUAGGAGUAUGUGUGUGCAUGUGUGUGUAUGUGUGUGCAUGUGAGUGUGUGUGUAAGCUCAUGGGUUUUUUUCUUUUCCUUUUUCAGAGUAAAUAUGCUUUGAAAAUUUGACAUCCAUGAUUAAAUGUAAUAUAUUGCUUUGCUUCACAUUUCAUAAUAGCAUGCUAUUUGAUCUGAUUUAUUCUUAUUGUCUAGUUCCAGAAAGUUUUUUCCCUCUGGUUCCAUCAGUUAAGUCACACUUGAAGAACAAAUUAUAUUGUGAGAAACACAUGACUGGUCUUUUCUGUUUCUCUCCUGUCCUCCUUUUGUCAUGGCCACAGCUCAGAAUAAAAGAGUUCCACAAAAUGUGUACCACAGUGGCCAGGCUGGCAUGGCAAGGCCAGAGGUGCUGGGACACCCUGACCAACAUGGUCAAACUCCGUCUCUACUAAAAACACAAAAAUUAGCCGGACGUGGUGGCACACGCCUGUAAUCCCAGCUACUCGGGAGGCUAGGGCAGGAGAAUUGUUUGAGCCUGGGAGACGGAGGUUGCUGUGAGCCGAGAUUGUGCCACUGACUGCACUCCAGCCUGGCUGACAGAGUGAGACUCUGUCUCAAAAAAAAAAAAAGAAAAAGAAAAAGAAGAGAAAGGGCAGGGAAACACCCAGCAGCUGGCCUCACUUUCUCAGCAAAUAAGUAAUUCAGGAUGGAAAGGAGUUUUUAAGGUGAGAUUCUUUCAAGUGUGACAAAGCUCUUUAGAGCAUGAGAAUCCUAAACUGUGUAGUUGUGCCACUGCUCUGCCAUUGGAAUGGCCAGCACCAGAUAUGGGCUGUUCCUACCGCCUGGGUUCCAGAGUGAAAAAUACCGUGGACCACAGUGGCAUCUGACGCAUAGCCAGCAUGGAAUAUGGGCAAAUGAAUGAUAAAUGAUCAACUUCCGUUUAAGUGAGACACUGAGAUUUGGGGGCGGUGUAUUAUUGUAGCAUAACCCAGCAAAAGCUGGCAUGGAAACAGGAAACCUGGAGCUAAUGCCAAGAAGAGGUUGUGUGGUGAAAGUAUCUUGGUCUCUUCAGAAUUAACAAGGAUUUAAGGAUGUCUGUUCAUAGACAUGGCUGUUGCCAUCCUGUCCCCCUCCCCUCUCCUAAGGACAUGUUUCUAUACAAGCCAGCAGCAUCUUUUAAACCUCAUAGUUUGUACCCUUUUACACUAUGUUGUGUGAGUCAAUGUAAUUCCCACUCUGGCCCCUGCCCACCUGCUUGAUGCUGGAGCCCUCUUUGUUUUCGUAAAGCUGGGCGGCUUCCAGACCCAAAUCCAGCCUUUACAGCCACUGCCUCUUCCCUACGUAGGGUUCCGUUUAGGAUCCUGGUAGGUGGACAAGUAGUGAACAAGACAGAUGACAGAUGCUCCAGGUUCACAUCCAAGUUUUGGGGGGUUGAGAGCUUUUCCAUUUGGAUGUCCUUCUUUAAGAACAAGAAGGUAAAAUUGUGAAUACGGAAUGAGAUAUGGGGUCUUGGUGGGGCCCAUGCCAGCAAGGGGCCUGAAGCUCCUCAUUAGCUUCCGAUGUGGGGGUGGGGGAGUAGAAGUGGGCAGUACAGGAGGAAGUGACAAGAAUUCUCAGGGGUGGGGAGAACUGUGUCGAAAAUAAACAAGGAAGUGCAACAGGAAAUGACUGGGUGGCUUCUUCAGGCUGGGUAGGACGCUGCUGAAUUUAUCUGAUAAAAAUCUCCUCUCUGUGAGUUGUGGAAAGUGGCUUGCUGCGAGAGACCCCCUUCUUCCCCACAUAACAUAGGUAAGAGUGAUAGAAGUGAUGCAGCUGGGCGCUGUCUCCAAAAAAAAAAAAAAAAAAAGGAAAAGUGACGGAUGCUCCCCUCACUCCACCCCCUACCCAUUACCUAGGACAAAGCCAGACACAGAUCCUCCAAUUCCCAUUCUUCACCUCAUCAAUGAUGAGCCAGUCAAUAGAAAUAACACACUUGUUAAGCAAACUUGGUGAGGCUCCUCUCUUCCCCCGAGGCUGAGGACUUUUGGCCUCAUCUUAGCCUGAGUCAGUCCCCCCUGAGAACAGGCUGGCCACGGGGUCAACCUUCUCUGAUCUAAUGUCCUAUGAAGGCAGGUUCUCAUCCCACUUCUCCAUUCCCAGUUCAUUCUUUCUCUCUCUUUCUUUUUCUCUCUUUCUUCUUUCUUUCAUUCAUUCUUUUUGUUGUUGUUGUUGACCGAGUCUCACUCUGUCGCCCAGGCUGGAGUGCAGUGGCGCGAUCUCGGCUCACUGCAACCUCUGCCUCCUGGGUUCAAGCGAUUCUCCUGCCUCAGCCUCCAGAGUAGCUGGGAUUGAGGGAAGAGAGAGACCCUCUCAUAUUGUUUUAUAUUGUUUUAUACUCAGUACCUGUUUUAAGAAAAAAACAAGGAAGUGAAAUCAAAGACAGGCAGCCCGGCGCCAGGCCCAAAACCGGACCUGGGCCUGCCUGGCCUAAACCUAGUAGUUAAAAAUCAACUCAUGACUUAGAGACCGAUGUUAUUCAUAGAUUCCAGACAUUGUAUAGAAGAACAUUGUGAAACUCCCUGCCCUGUUCUGUUUCUCUCUGACCACCAGUGCAUGCAGCCCGUCACGUACCCCUUGCUUGCUCAAAUCAAUCACGACCCUUUCAUGUGAAAUCUUUAAUGUUGUGAGCCCUUAAAAGGGACAGAAAUUGUGCAUUCGGGGAGCUCGGAUUUUAAGGCAGUAGCUUGCCGAUGCUCCCAGCUGAAUAAAGCCCUUCCUUCUAUAGCUCGGUGUCUGAGAGGUUUUGUCUGCCGCUCCUCCUGCCACAGGAUUACAGUCGCGUGCCACCCCCGCCCAGCAAAUUUUUGUAUUUUUAGUAGGGACAAAAGGCCCCCAGGCCCCUGCAAUAAUGGUCCUCAUAACACCACUCCUCCCCGAGUCCAGAUUUGCUUUAUAUUUGGCAGUGGUCACAACAGCCCUCCUUGACAAGGGGCUGUUUAAACACACCGGACUGUGAUUUAAAGGAAAAUGAGGAUUCUGGGAAGCACUUUUGUUUUAAGAAAAUUAUUUUUUUAGCUUAAAAGAAAAGAGAAAAAGAACUGUGGCGUGUGCCUAUAUUCUUGAGAGGAAGGAAUGAAAGGAGCCGGAAAGAAACAAAUAAGUCGUUAGGGAAAAGGAGAACGAGAAUAACACCAUGACCUGUAGGAGGUCCUGGAGGAGCUAAGGAGGUGUCAGCCAUUUUCCCCCCCCAUCUGUUCCACAGGUGGCAUUUUAUUGAGCACCGACUGUCCCCCAUCCACUGUGCUCAGUGGCAGGGACUCAAGGUGGGCAAAAUAGACAUGGGCCUUGCCUUGCAGUCUAGUGGGAAAAACAGAUUAAUCAUUUAAAUAUUUUGUUUCAAAGAAUGGUAAUGCAUGCAGGCAAGGUCCAGGCCUGUGGGAGAGCAGGCUACAGGCCCACCUGCUAUUUAGACAGUUACCAGUGGCAGAGGACCCCGAGGAAGGCGCAGUUUACUCGACGUGUAAAUAGGAAUAGCCUUAACUAGCUGUGGGUGUGCGGACAGGGAAGGGAAAGAGGAGAAACAUCUGCAGAGACAAUGCCGGGUGCACAGCCCGUGGGCGGGGCCGCGGGUGCAGGGGAACCCGUGCCUCUGAAGGGCUGGGAAGGCCAGGGUGUUGGGGGAGGAGACCG